UGUGUGGGUUAAACACUGGCUCUAAAUCAUCAAACCAAGCAUGACUACAUGUGGAGAGCAAGCAGAAGCCCAGGGAGGGGGCAGUAAAAACCCAGCUGGGGCUUGAGUCAUUCUGCUCGGUCAUCAGAUGAGACAGUAAUCUCCUGCUGGGCACCUGUCAGAGGUAGAGUAAUUUCUGCGGUUACAAAUGAGACAAUUAUUGUUAAUAUACAGUGAGUCAAGAAAAAUAAGUCAACUAAAUGUUUAAAGGAUUAUAUGUUAUGUAACUAAAGGCGCAUACCAACAUUACUACAGCAUGGGUUGGUGAUACAGUAAAUAAACCUGUUAAAAUAAAAAAGUUGUUGGUUAAAAUGUACAGUUUUAUGCAUGUUCUUAUUUGUUACAAAGUUUGCCUGAAAUCUGCCUAAAAAAUGUCAAGUGGUGUCGUUAGAAAAUAUUAUAGGAUUUAAUAUUUAGACCUCUGGAGAAAAGGUUAGUGAAGCUGCUGGGAAGAAGGACUUUCUUACCGUCACAGGAGUAGCAGCUGGUAACAUGUUCCAGGUGGCCAUCCAUCACUGAAGGCCUGUGAUAAUUCAUAAUCAUAUGAAUGAAUGGUGGAAGCUGGAUGUCCAGAAUCAACCCUCCAGGUGUUGCCCUAGAUUUACUUAACUGUGUAGUCCCUACUCCUUUAGUUAUCUCUUUGCACAGAUGUCAUAGUCUGAGUCUGUCAGUCAGCUUCCUGUCUUAUUUUGUGGCCACCACCUGUGUUUCAUCAGUAAUCAGCCUGUGUAUUUAGUCGCCAGUACUCAUCUUAGUUCCCCGUCAGAUCAUCGCGUUUUCACCGCCGGCCUGUGUUAUCCCAGGAGGCUGAGUGUUCGCAAGUCUUCAUACCUUUGUGGAAUCUCCCUGCCUGUACCGAAACUGAUCUGGACUGAUCUGUUGCCAACCUGUAUAUCGCAGUUGGCACCAAGUGAUUGGUAAACAGACGGGCCUUCUGUCCUGAGGAGACCUCAUGGAAGAACAUCUGGCUGGACAAAUAUUGACCAAUGUGCACAACUGCUGUCGUCAUCAGCUUUAAGCAGGUCGCAGGGGCAGCAGAGAGUUCCAGGCUUCCCUCUCCCCGGACCCCCACUCCAGCUCUACCGGUGGGACCUGAAGGCGUUCCCAGUGUGUCCUGGGUCUUCCCUCGGACCUCCUACCAGUGGGACAUGCCCAGCACCAGUCCGUCUGUCAUUCCCACGCUCCUUCCUUCCCUCACUCGUGACUCAAGACCCCAAGGUACUUGAACUUCUCCACUUGGGGCAGGAACUCUCCUCCAACCUGGAGAGAGCAAGCCACCUUUUUCUGCAAGCCACUCUAGACGACUGAAGAGGUGAGGUGGUCAGCAAUGGAGCAAGAUGCGCCCUGAGACCCACCGAAAUCGACGAUGUUCUCCAGGUGGAGGGCUAUCCGGGAGGCAGGAAGAAGCAGCGCCACCCGUGGCUGGAGGCACCGAGGGCGAGGCCACCAGACAGGCACACGAGACCCGCAUAAGGCUGUGUCAGGCAGAAGAGACGAGCAUAGAGCUGUGUCAGGCAGACGAGACAAGCGUAGCGUCGUGCCAGGCAGACGAGACGCCAGAACCAGAGUCAGAGACGAGAACCGACGAGGAGCCGGAACCAGAGUGAAGGGACAAUUCAGAGAUGAGGAACCAGAACUAGAGCCAAAAACGAACCCAGACGUGAAGUCAGAGCUGACGCGGUCGUCGCCAAAUCACCAGGAACUGACACUGAUGUGGCACUCGCCGGACCACGGAGAACCGAGGCAGACGGGCUCGGUGCUGGACUGGGUCUGAGGUGGACGUGGUCGGCAACGGACCGCCAGGAACCCCGCAAGCAACACCACCACAGGAACCAGGGUCGGUGCAGUCAUCUGCCGGCCACCAGAAACUGAAGUUGGCGUUGUUCCCCUUGGACCACCAGGGACAGGAGCAGACACUAGACACAGGCACUACGGGGAAGACACCUGUACACAGGAGACCAGAAGGCACAGGGUCCAGGACCGGUGUGAACCAGUCCGGACCACCAGAAGGCGAGAUCGGCGUGGUCUCCUUUGGACUACCAGGAGCUCCAAAAACGAUCUCUUCGGGGCCGAUGGCCCGAAGAGGCCGAAACCAGGCUCGACUGGGCGAGACAUGUCUAAGCUAAGGCUGGAGCUGGAGCUGGAGCUGGGCAUAACUGCUGCACUGGACCUAGGCCUGGUUUGGUGACACAGACAGCAGUGAUCAGGUGAGUGUUGGCAGCAGAGCCAGAAAUGAUCCGAUGUGACGGAGCAUCUGGGGCAGCCACGCGUGCUGAACUCCAGAGAGCACUUGAAGCUGGAACCGCCUGCAACCCGGUGGACAAGACCUCAGAGGCAGGGAGAGUGUCAGGGAGUCUGGGGAGUUCUGGUGCUUCGCCGACGGUGGCCAGGAUACUGAUGGCUGGGAGCCUGUUUUGUGGGGCGGUAGCGGCACAGGAGGUUGAACUGGGUGUGGUGGUGGCACAGGAGCUUGAUGUGGGUUGGCCACAGGUGCAGCAGGCCUCACGCAUGGCUUGGCAACCGAUGCAGCGGGGAUCAUGAUAGGCCAGGAACUAGAGGUUGAUGCAGGCUGAGACGCCGUGGUUGAUGCAGGCUGAGACACUGUGGACGAUGCCUUGACGACAUAUUACAUUAAGGAGUAUCGUCCAAGAAGCACCAGGCAGGGAGGGAUGGCCCUGAGUCCACCAGGUGGUGUUUGCUGCAACACUUUCGCCUUUUAUGCACUGGCAUGUGCAAGGUGAUCCAUUCUUUAUGGAGUACAUUGUUUGAGUCGAGGCAGGGUCGGGAAAUAGGUCGGUGGUGAAGUCGGAACACAGGAGGGAACAGCUUUCAUGAAAAACCCUCCCCGACGCAGAGGGAUUACUGCGGUGCCCAAUUAAGAAUGCUCUUCAGCAGGUGUAACCAGUGCGCGGCCUGGGGAUUGCUGAGGCACUGGAGCUGAGUUCCUAGCAGAGGACGGAGGCAAAGCUGGAGCAGAAACGUGGACAGGACCACAAUAAGGGACAGAAACUGAAGACUGACCUUGAGCGGGAGGUGGAGCAGGAGAUCUGGCAGGAACCGGGGACACCGAAGGGGCGACAGGAGCUGGCGUUGAACAAGAGCCCGGAGUGACUUUGGGCGUGACACGCAGAACGCGCCAAAUGCUCGUGUCUCAAGCAUAGCCAGUCAAAGAGAUUCCCGGGGUAGUCUAACCACCAAUAUUCGUCCUUCAAGAUGGCGAUUGAUCGAAGAUCCCUGGGAAACCCAUUGUGCUGCAAAAACGUUCUCCUCACACAAAACAAAAUUAGACUUGAAACAGAAAACUGGACACUGGCUGGGUCCAGGGCUAGCCAGAUCAUACUUUCAGGGUUUCGAAGAGGGCAGACCCACAUGCAGAGCGAUCGAGAAAGGCAGGUAGAAUAAAGGAUUUAAUGACAAUCUCUCUGGUCAGAAUACAGGUGGAGGUCGGUGCACAGGUAGUCAACAGUCGAUGGCACAGAUAAGGACCAGGCAGAGACAGGUACAGUGUAGGUAGCAGGCUAAGGUCGGUAGCAGAGUUAGCUCAGCAAAGGUAGAAUACGGGUAAGGCAGGUGGUCAAAACCAGGAACAGGCAAGAGGUCAAAAAUACACAAAGCUGGACCGACCAGUUACAUUGUCAAACUGACCAACUAACAGCCACUAACCCUGACAAAGUAAAUAAUGUAAAGACUGACUCUUUGUCAGUCAUUGUACAUGUAGCAUUACCAUCACAUUAUGAUGAAAAACAUGCUGUAUGAAUAUUACUAACAAACAGGAGACUUUUUUCUCCUAGGGGGCCAUUGUGUAGCAGUAAUGCUAAUCCCUCAUAUUGAUGCCUUUAUGCACUUUUAUUAAAUUGCUGAUCUUUUUGGGUUUUUAUUUGAAUCACAGCUUCAUUAAAGGUGGUGACAUUCUUUUAGAUAUUACUGCUUGGGAAUUGCUUACACACAAUACUGUACAUUGCAGAACAGUCUCCUUUCCAAGCGCUCUCCCUCAGUGCUUUUUUAAUAUUACACCUAAUGCCACCUGGUGAUAAGUGGCGAUUUUUAACUGACAAGCAUCAGGAUCUACAGGGCCCUGCAGGACUAUUUAUUUAUACACACACCCCUAUACUGGUCCUAAAGAAUCCGAAGUUGUGCUGUCAGGUUGAUGGGACACCUUAGGUGUGAGAGUGAGCUAGAGACAGUUGUUUAGAGGUCAGUGGAAUCCAGCCAACAGUGUUAUCAGAAAUCUGACUUAUGCAAGCAGCCUUGCGUACAGAAUGCUGACAAAGCAUGCCUGCCUCCAGUAGGCUGAAUUCAGGCGAACUGGCUCCUCUGUUUAAUGCUCCAUUAUGUAACAGUCAGAGCGAUUUCAAAGGGCCUGGUUAGCCUGACCAGCUCACCUUGGCAACACACUGAUUAUCUGAUUGUUCACAUAGUCAAUUUACUUUGGGUGCAGCCAGUGGCUGCAAGCGUGGACUUUAUCAUUAACCAUGGUCGCUAACUUGCUUCAGGUGAAAAGAGAAGAAGCCCAAUAUGCAAGACAUAUGAAAACACACACACAAUUGUCCAACUUACAAAUGCACAUUAUUAGUCAAGCGCUGAAAUGUAAAUAUAGUACAGCAAGAAGGUGCUGCUGUUCAGAAAGAGGAAUAUUUCUGAGCUUGAUGAAGCCUACGUUGCUUUCAACCAAGAGGAAGAGAAGGCGACAUGAAGUAUGAAGUAAGUACAUGCAGUCCCAGAAAGCUUCUGGGCAUCAGCUGCUUUCUGCUCCCAGCCAGUCUGUGCAACCUCCUAUUUAUAGCAGUUUGCUGUUGAAAUUGCCUGGUGUAAUUUUUGGAGGACAGCUGACUGUGCUCAACACAAAUACACAAAUACGAGGCUAGAAGUAAAACAGACACUGCCGAAGAGUGACCCAAAAACACAUGAGCAGAGGGUCGGACCGUGUGUAACACACAAAGCAAAGGAGAAGGACCUGGAGUCUUGCAACGCACUACCAACUGUUUUAACCAACCAUUUAAAAAGACCUUAAA